rnacentral:rRNA from 1 species
GACGAACGCUGGCGGCGCGCCUAACACAUGCAAGUCGAGCGAGCGAGCGAGAGCUUGCUUUCUCGAGCGAGUGGCGAACGGGUGAGUAACGCGUGAGGAACCUGCCUCUAAGAGGGUGACAACAGUUGGAAACGACUGCUAAUACCGCAUAAGCCCACGGCUCGGCAUCGAGCAGGGGGAAAAGGAGCAAUCCGCUUUGAGAUGGCCUCGCGUCCGAUUAGCUAGUUGGUGGGGUAACGGCCCACCAAGGCGACGAUCGGUAGCCGGACUGAGAGGUUGAACGGAGACAUUGGGACGGAGACACGGCAGAGACUCCUACGGGAGGCAGCAGUGGGGAAUAUUGCAAAAUGGGGGAAACCCUGAUGCAGCGACGCCGCGUGGAGGAAGAAGGUCUUCGGAUUGUAAACUCCUGUUGUUGGGGAAGAUAAUGACGGUACCCAACAAGGAAGUGACGGCUAACUACGUG